GAAUGUAUAACUCAAUCGGUAGAGUAUCUCCCUUUUAAGGGAGAAAGUUAGUGGUUCGAAUCCACUUACAUUCG